AUGGGGUGUCCCUAUGUAUUGUCCCUAUGUGUUGUCCCUAUGGGGCGGUUCUAUGGGGUGGUGCUAUGGGGUGGCCCUAUGGGCUGCCCCUAUGUGUUGGCCCUAUGGGGUGAUGCUAUGGAUUGGCCCUAUAUAUUGUCCCUAUGGGGUGGCCCUAUAUGUUGUCCCUAUGGGGUGUCCCUAUGUGUUGUCCCUAUGUGCUGUCCCUAUGUGCUGUUCCUAUGGGGCGGCUCUAUGGGGUGGCGCUAUGGGGUGUCCCUAUGGUUUGGCUCUAUGGGGUGGCCCUAUGGUUUGGCCCUAUGUGCUGCCCCUAUGUGUUGUCCCUAUGUGCUGUCCCUAUGGGGCAGUUCUAUGGGGUGGUUCUAUAGGGCAGCGCUAUGGGGUGUCCCUAUGGUUUGGCUCUAUGGGGUGGCCCUAUGGGGUGGCGCUAUGGGGUGGCCCUAUGGGGUGAUGCUAUGGGUGACCCUAUGUACUGCCCCUAUGUGCUGUUCCUAUGGGGUGUCCCUAUGUAUUGUCCCUAUGUGUUGUCCCUAUGGGGCGGUUCUAUGGGGUGGCGCUAUGGGGUGGCCCUAUGGUUCGGCUCUAUGGGGUGGCCCUAUGGGGUGGCCCUAUGUGCUGCCCCUAUGUGCUGUCCCUAUGGGGUGUCCCUAUGCAUUGUCCCCAUGUGCUGCCCCUAUGGGGUGGUUCUAUGGGGCAGCACUGACCCCUAUGUGCUGCCCCAUGUGCUGUCCCUAUGGGGCGGCUGUAUGGGGUGUCCCUAUGUGCUGUCCCUAUGUGCUGUCCCUAUGUGCUGCCCCUAUGGGUCGUUUCUAUGGGGCAGCGCUGACCCCUAUGUGCUGCCCUAUGCAUUGUCCCCAUGUGCUGCCCCUAUGUGUGGUUCUAUGGGGCAGCGCUGACCCCUAUGUGCUGUCCCUAUGGGGCGGCCCUAUGUGUGGUUCUAUGGGGCAGCUCUAUGGGGCGGCCCUAUGUGUGGUUCUAUGGGGCAGCGCUGACCCCUAUGUGCUGUCCCUAUGUGCUGUCCCUAUGUGCUGUCCCUAUGAUGUGCUGUCCCUAUGGGGCGGCCCUAUGUGUGGGUUCUAUGGGGCAGCUCUAUGGGGCAGCCCUAUGGGUCGUUUCUAUGGGGCAGUGCUGACCCCUAUGUAUUGUCCCCAUGUGCUGCCCCUAUGGGUCGUUUCUAUGGGGCAGCACUGACCCCCAUGUGCUGUCCCCAUGUGCUGCCCCUAUGGGUUGGUUAUGGGGCCGCCCCAUAGCUCUGUCCGCGGCUCCUCUCCCCCCCCCCUUCUCUUUCCCUACAAAAACCCUUUUUAUAUGGGAUUUAUGGGAUUUCUGCCCUCCCCCCCCCGCCGCCCCAUAGGCCGCUAUAAAUACCCGGGCGGGGCGCUGCGGUUUGGGGCGGGAUCGGCCGAUUUUGGUUAAAAAAAUACAAACACGUGGAAAAAAAAAGUGGAGAUUUUUAGUUUGGGGUCGGAGGGGAGUAAUGGGAUCCUAUGGGAGUAAUGGGAUCCUAUGGGACUAAUGGGAUCCUAUGGGUUUCUAUGGGGUUCUAUAGGAUUGGAUGGGGUUAAUGGGAUUCUAUGGGGUUCUAUAGGAUUGGAUGGGGUUAAUGGGAUCCUAUGGGAUUCUAUGGGGUUCUAUAGGAUUGGAUGGUGUUAAUGGGAUCCUAUGGGGUUUAUGGGAUCCUAUGGGGCUGAUGGAAUUCUAUGGGGUUGAUGGGAUCCUAUGGGGUUCUAUAGGAUUCUAUGGGGCUGAUGGGAUUCUAUGGGAUUCUAUAGGAUUGGAUGGGGUUGGGUGGGAUCCUAUGGGGCUGAUGGGAUCCUAUGGGAUUCUAUAGGAUUGGAUGGGGUUGAUGGGAUUCUAUGGGGCUGAUGGGAUUCUAUGGGGUUAAUGGGAUUCUAUGGGGCUGAUGGGAUUCUAUGGGGUUUAUGGGAUCCUAUGGGGUUCAAUAGGAUUCUAUGGGGCUGAUGGGAUCCUAUGGGGUUCUAUAGGGUUGGAUGGGGUUUAUGGGAUCCUAUGGGGUUCUAUAGGAUUCUAUGGGGUUUAUGGGAUCCUAUGGGGUUCUAUAGGAUUCUAUGGGGUUGAUGGGAUCCUAUGGGGUUCUAUAGGACUGCAUGGCGUUGAAUUCAGCUCGGCAUUUAUUCACAGCAGCAAAACGUCGGAACCGAACCGGAACCGACCGGAACCAACGAGGGAC
ensembl:lncRNA